GUGCCAGCAGCCGCGGUAACACGUAGGGUGCAAGCGUUGUCCGGAAUCAUUGGGCGUAAAGAGCUCGUAGGCGGCUUAGUAAGUCGGGUGUGAAAACCCCAGGCUCAACCUGGGGACGCCACCCGAUACUGCUAUAGCUAGAGUCCAGUAGGGGAGUGUGGAAUUCCCAGUGUAGCGGUGAAAUGCGCAGAUAUUGGGAGGAACACCAGCGGCGAAGGCGGCACUCUGGGCUGGUACUGACGCUGAGGAGCGAAAGCGUGGGUAGCGAACAGGAUUAGAUACCCCCGUAGUCC
rnacentral:rRNA from 1 species